AGGGAGAAAUACUUGCUACAAUGGACGGCAAGCCUGACUGCAGCCACUGCCGCGUGAGUGAUGAAGGCCUUCGGGUUGUAAAACUCUUUUGUUAGGGAAGAAAAAGUGGAAGUUUAUUUCGCUGGCCCCUUACCGUUACCUAACAGAAAGGCCCCGCCUACUUCCUUCCCCCCGCCCCUAUAAUUAAAAAAA
rnacentral:rRNA from 1 species